UUACUUUAUUUCACUCUUCAAGAAAUAAAUAGCUACACCACCAUAUGAGAAAUUGACGUCAAGCUUUUACAAUGAUAAUUUGUUGAAGCUGGAAAUCUAUUUUAAAGAUCUUGGAGUAGACGAAUCUAAGAAAUCACCUGCCUAUUCUGCUGAAGGACUUGUAUGUGAUAUUGGCGGUAGCAUUGGCUUGUGUCUUGGUGGAAGCAUUUUAACGCUGAUCGAGGUAUUAUUAUUGCCAUUAUCUGUGGAAGUCGACGAAAACAAGUGGCAGAUUUGUCGUCGUCUGAAAAGAAGGAUAUUGGUUAGAACGUUAUUCGCUGAUUCCACCAUGUUGAAUGGCAUAUCCAGGUUAUGUAGAGAUGAAGACAUGUAACAGGAAUUGAUGCAUGGACAGUCUAAUCAUGUUGCUUCUAGCGGACAUUGGUCAUUUCUGUGCAGAUCUCUG